CGGGAUUUGCCCUAGUUACGGCGAGUGAAGCGGCAACAGCUCAAAUUUGAAAUCUGGCUCUCGGGCCCGAGUUGUAAUUUGUAGAGGAUGCUUUUGAUGCGGUGCCUUCCGAGUUCCCUGGAACGGGACGCCAUAGAGGGUGAGAGCCCCGUCUGGUUGGAUGCCAAAUCUCUGUAAAGCUCCUUCGACGAGUCGAGUAGUUUGGGAAUGCUGCUCUAAAUGGGAGGUAUAUGUCUUCUAAAGCUAAAUACCGGCCAGAGACCGAUAGCGCACAAGUAGAGUGAUCGAAAGAUGAAAAGCACUUUGAAAAGAGAGUUAAAAAGUACGUGAAAUUGUUGAAAGGGAAGCGUUUAUGACCAGACUUGGGCUUGGUUAAUCAUCUGGGGUUCUCCCCAGUGCACUUUUCCAGUCCAGGCCAGCAUCAGUUUUCGCCGGGGGAUAAAGGCUUCGGGAAUGUGGCUCUCUCCGGGGAGUGUUAUAGCCCGUUGCGUAAUACCCUGGCGGGGACUGAGGUUCGCGCAUCUGCAAGGAUGCUGGCGUAAUGGUCAUCAACGACCCGUCUUGAAACCCGGACC
rnacentral:rRNA from 1 species